UGAAUGAGCAGCCACAAGUCUACCUAUCAGUUCAUAGUGCAGACACAUUCCAGAUACUACUUUGCAGAUGAUGGCCUUCAUUCAUGUUUCGUCGCGAGCAGUAUGAAGAAGAAGUCAGAAGAAAGCAAGGCAUGCAUGAUCUAGGCAUGCAUGCACACUCUCGCAUCUCAGGACAUUCUUUUAAUGCGGAAUUUUCUUGGAAUUUGGAUGUAGUGGUGAUUUUGCUGAGAAUUUGAUGUAUAUUUGCAUGCAAACAAAAUUCAAAUGCUGGGAGUUAUGUACAUAUUCUUAUAAUACUAUCCUAAUUGGAAAAUACGUUGGCAUUGAA